rnacentral:lncRNA from 1 species
UCAGAAGUAAUAUCAGGGCAAGUCUGUAUUUCCAAAGAAGUCAGCUAACUUGCACGUGAGUGUUUUCCAGUGCUUACAUUGACUGCCCCCUUGUUUGAUCACAAAUUCAUUCAUCUUCCUCCUGUUUUUCAUAUGCCUUCCUAACCUGCUCACGGUCUCCCAUCAGACUGUUUUAUAUAAGGCAGGGACUUUGAGAAACUUGUGUGUAUCCUAAGUGUUGUCUGUGUGGUGUCUUAUAACAAUGCCAGAGAAAUGUUGUUAAUGAAUAUAAAAAUGUAGCUAAUACAUCAGAUGCCAUCGACCUCUAGUAAUUUAUAGCUCCCUUGUGUUAGUUAAUUAAAGCUCCUGUAUCAGCAUAAAGAACAGCUCUGCUCUCUGACAGUGAUCCUGAAAAUCGAUCGCGGACAUGCAGAGGGCUUCAGCAGCGGCGUGCGGUGUCUCUGGACUUCCUUUUCUUGCCUUGCUGUUGUUUGCGUAAAGCCUAAAGGGCAGGAAGGCAAGGUUUAACGUACCUGGCUUGACCUGUGGUGAGUAGAUUUACUCGGGAGAAUGAGAAAGCAAUUGCUUAUUUGGGAAGAUGCAGGCACUCUCCCGUCUUUUGAAGAUAAAUGUGAUGUGACCGUCGUGUUCCAAAGGCCACGGGCUUUCCGCCCUCACCUGGUUGGGUGGGAGCGUCCCUGGAGGGAGCACCACCCCUCUCUGCCCUGUGAACUGGACACCGGGCAGCCCCGCUCUCAGCCCGAGGCUGCUUUGGGAACAGGACAGAGUGUCCAGGCUGUAGGGCUCGCUUCCCAGGGAAAGGAAGGAAUGUGCAGUUUGCUUUACUCCCACAGGGCUCGUGGCGUUCGUUUCUCAUCAUUUUUUGCUUUUAUUUGGUUUCCAAAUGGUUCAUCGCGAUUGCUCAUGUUUCCUCCUUCCACAAAGGGCUUAAAGGAGAAACCAUGCUCUUUUCUUGAAGGGGGAAAAAAAAACAACCUCAGGGAACUGUCUGUCCCCGGGGCUUGA